rnacentral:rRNA from 13 species
CGGGCGGGCAGUUUGACUGGGGCGGUCGCCUCCUAAAGAGUAACGGAGGCGUGCGAAGGUAAACUCAAUGUAGAUCGGAAACCUACUGAAGAGCAUAAUGGUAUAAGUUUGCCUGACUGCAAGAUUCACAGAUCGAGCAGAGACGAAAGUCGGUCAUAAUGAUCCACAAGUACUGAGUGGAAAGGCUUGUGCUUAACGAAUCAAAGAUACGCCAAGGAUAACAGGCUGAUA